UACAGAGGUGGCAAGCGUUGUUCGGAAUUACUGGGCGUAAAGGGCGCGUAGGCGGCCAUCUAAGUCGAACGUGAAAUCCCCGGGCUCAACCCGGGAACUGCGUCCGAGACUGAAAGGCUCGAAUCCGGGAGAGGGAUGUGGAAUUCCAGGUGUAGCGGUGAAAUGCGUAGAUAUCUGGAGGAACAUCGGUGGCGAAGGCGGCAUCCUGGACCGGUAUUGACGCUGAGGCGCGAAAGCCAGGGGAGCAAACGGG
rnacentral:rRNA from 1 species